AGCAGCCGCGGUAAUUCCAGCUCCAAUAGCGUAUAUUAAAGUUGUUGCAGUUAAAAAGCUCGUAGUUGAAUUUCGGGGUUAGUAGGUUGGUCAUGCCUCUGGUAUGUACUGGUCUCACUGAUUCCUCCUUCCUUAUGAACCGUAAUGCCAUUAAUUUGGUGUUGCGGGGAAUUUGGACUGUUACUUUGAAAAAUUAGAGUGUUUAAAGCAAGCUAACGCUUGAAUACAUUAGCAUGGAAUAAUGAAAUAGGACGUUCGAUCUUAUUUUGUUGGUUUCUAGGAUUGACGUAAUGAUUAAUAGGGAUAGUUGGGGGCAUUAGUAUUCAAUUGUCAGAGGUGAAAUUCUUGGAUUUAUUGAAGACUAACUACUGCGAAAGCAUUUGCCAAGGAUGUUUUCAUUAAUCAAGAACGAAAGUUAGGGGAUCGAAGACGAUCAGAUACCGUCGUAGUCUUAACCAUAAACUAUGCCGACUAGGGAUCGGAUGAUGUUAAUUUUUAAUGACUCAUUCGGCGCCUUACG
rnacentral:rRNA from 1 species